GUCGAGCGGUCCGCGUCAGCGGGACAGCGGCGGACGGGUGAGGAACACGUGAGUAACCGGGCAUGGAGUGGGGGAUAUCGGGCCGAAAGGCGCGGCAAUCCCGCAUACCGUCCCACCCGCAUCAGUGGGUGGGGGAAAGGGAUCUUCGGAUCUCGCUCCAUGGGGGGCUCGCGGCCCAUUAGCUAGUUGGGGGGGUAACGGCCUCCCAAGGCGACGAUGGGUAGCCGGCCUGAGAGGGUGAUCGGCCACACUGGGACUGAGACACGGCCCAGACUCCUACGGGAGGCAGCAGUAGGGAAUCUUCCACAAUGGGCGCAAGCCUGAUGGAGCAACGCCGCGUGAGUGAAGACGGCCUUCGGGUUGUAAAGCUCUGUCGGUUGGGACGAGGGCCCCGGGGGAACCCGGGGCGGGACGGUACCGAUCAAUGAAGCCCCUGCUAACUACGUGCCAGCAGCCGCGGUAAGACGUAGGGGGCAAGCGUUGUCCGGAAUUACUGGGCGUAAAGGGCGUGUAGGCGGUGCGGUACGUAGCGGUUUUAAGCCUCCGGCUCACCCGGAGGAGGGCGGCUAAACGGCAGCACUGGAGGGCAGGAGAGGUGCGCGGAAUUCCUGGUGGAGCGGUGAAAUGCGUAGAGAUCAGGAAGAACACCAGU
rnacentral:rRNA from 1 species